rnacentral:rRNA from 1 species
GAUGAACGCUGGCGGCGUGCCUAAUACAUGCAAGUCGAACGAACAGACGAGGAGCUUGCUCCUCUGACGUUGGCGGCUGACGGGUGAGUAACACGUGGAUAACCUACCUAUAAGACUGGGAUAACUUCGGGAAACCGGAGCUAAUACCGGAUAAUAUAUUGAACCGCAUGGUUCAAUAGUGAAAGACGGUUUUGCUGUCACUUAUAGAUGGAUCCGCGCCGCAUUAGCUAGUUGGUAAGGUAACGGCUUACCAAGGCGACGAUGCGUAGCCGACCUGAGAGGGUGAUCGGCCACACUGGAACUGAGACACGGUCCAGACUCCUACGGGAGGCAGCAGUAGGGAAUCUUCCGCAAUGGGCGAAAGCCUGACGGAGCAACGCCGCGUGAGUGAUGAAGGUCUUCGGAUCGUAAAACUCUGUUAUUAGGGAAGAACAAAUGUGUAAGUAACUAUGCACGUCUUGACGGUACCUAAUCAGAAAGCCACGGCUAACUACGUG